AGUAACCUGCCUUGGAGUGGGGAAGUAACAGUUGGAAACAGCUGCUAAUACCGCAUAAUAUGUCUGUGUCGCAUGGCACUGGGCAUCAAAGAUUUAUCGCUCUGAGAUGGACUCGCGUCUGAUUAGCUAGUUGGCGGGGUAACGGCCCACCAAGGCGACGAUCAGUAGCCGGACGUGAGAGGUUGGCCGGCCCACAUUGGGACUGAGACACGGCCCAGACUCCUACGGGAGGCAGCAG
rnacentral:rRNA from 1 species